rfam:Geobacillus sp. CAMR12739 Contig36, whole genome shotgun sequence.
CGGUUUCGAUUUGCUGCGGGCAAAUGAAAUGGAUAUGGGCAUCCACUCCUCCAGCGGUCACGAUUUUCCCUUCGGCCGCGAUCACUUCCGUUGAGGCGCCGAUGACAAUAUUGACGCCGUCCAUUAACAGCGGAUUCCCCGCCUUGCCGAUGGCGGCGAUGUUUCCAUCUUUGAUCCCGAUAUCGGCUUUGUAAAUGCCGGUGUAAUCAACGAUGACGGCGUUCGUCAACACUAAAUCGACCGCUUCGUCGCGGACAGCGAGCGGAUGCUGCCCCAUCCCGUCGCGAAUCA